rnacentral:lncRNA from 1 species
CAGGUUAAAAAAAAAAAAGCUUUGUAUUCUCUAGGGUAAAUUAUUCUUAUUAGCAACAGAUAUUAAUAGAAGGAGUAUAGCAGUAACCUAGAACAUUUUCCAGAAACCCUUCUAAUACUUCCAUGACUCAUUGUAAAUAUUAAUGAACAACCACAGCAAUUAAUCACAGGCAGGACCACAGGGUCUCGGAUCCUUCAACGGUGAAGUUUGUGUCACCCUACCAGCAAACAACUUCAAGAUAUUGAGGCUGAUGUUCAGACAAAAGAAUUAAAACAAUAAACAGAGGAAAACAUUGGAACUCUGCUGCUUCAUUAUUAACAGAAUCUGACAAGUUACUAAACAAUACAAGGCAAAAUAUUCCAUUUCUCCAAGAUUUCUUUAUCUCUUUAAACUUUCAAAAGAUUGAUUCUUCCC